UGCUUAACAGCUUGGAUUGAAGAGGCUUGUCUGGGGGGACUGAGACCUUGCAGAUCAUUCCAGGAGCCGCCUCCAUCCAAGGCCAACAGCUUCAUCAGGCCGCAGGCCUGGGAGAAGGCCUAAUAGCAAUCAGAUGGCGCAAGUGGAAAAUCACGGCGCUCGGCAAGCAAGCUGGAAAUUGGCGGGCUGUGGUGCCUGGUGCCUGCGCUGCUCAGCGGGAGGAUGAGUCAGGAGUGUAGUGCCCAGACUGGGAGAGAUGUGCCUCUGUGGGCAUCUUGAAGGGAAAUGAGAAGCGGAGCUGCCCCUGCACCUGCGCUGGGAGCUGCCUGCCUCCUGCUUGUCCUGGCCAUGUGCGAACCUCAGCGUGGAAGAGGGACUCUCGCACUGCUCCCUGCGCGGCUCAGCUGGCCUCCUGGGGGCAGCCAGCUGGGGCCCAGCUGGAACGCUUGUUUACAUGGGGAGGCCGGGGGAGGCUGAAUCCCGGCGAGUUCCAAGUGUAAUUGCGUUUGGACACUUAAAAGGAAUUGUGUGAAGUGGGCAGAGGCUCUGAAGUCCACCGCCUUAUUUGGUGCUUCUGUGGCCUAUGGUUGCCCUGCUGCUCCCUGGACGAGGGGGUGGGUGUGGACCAGCCCUCGUGGCCCCUCUGCAGCCAGCACCAUCCUCAGUAAAGACUACAGGAGCCACAAGAAACUAAUCCAUGGGGAUGGCCAGGCCUGAUUAGCUGGGGUGGGGCUGGAGGCUCCUCUACAGAGAUGAUGCUUACACUGAGACCUGAAGGAGAAGGAGGAGGUGGCUGCUCACGCAACCCACAGGAAAGUGUUCCAGGAUCAAGAACAGCAGGUGCAAAGGCCCCGUGAUGGAAAGGAUUGGUGCACUAGGAGAACAAAGUGGGUGGCUGCAGGGCAGGAGGGGAGGGUGCAUGUGCAGGCUGGGCAGGAGGGUAGGGCCUUGAGGCACCCUACAGGCCCCUGUAAGUCCAGGCACAGAGCUGCUGCCUUGAGCCCUGAGGUCUGGACAUUCCAGUUUCCCAUCUUUCCAAUGUGGGACUCUCUGCCUUUUCCAAUUCCCCACUUCCCUGAUGCCAGAUACUGCCUGACUGUGUCCAUCUCUCCCCCGUCCCCUGGGCCACCUCCCUGCUGAGACCCCUCACUGGUGCCUCCCAGGUGCAUUCUCCUCGCUGCCCCCAGCAGAGUCCUUCCCACACACCCAGCUCCUCGGUGUGGUGCCUGCCCGUGGGUGGGUGGUGCACCCCACUGGCAUCCCUCCUCUGCCCUGUCCACCUCAACUUCCAGGGCAGCCUGGACACCAGGUUUGGUCUACCUCGUCCACACCCGCCUGCUUCUGUCCCGCCUUAAGCGGAUCCGUGAUGUCCCGUCAUUAGACCUUCAAUUUCAGCACAGGACUGAAUAACUAACCUUCAAAAAGUUUGCAGUAGCCUUGUCACUCCUAAAAAUAACAAAUAAUUCCUUAAACAUCAUUCAACAUCCA
rnacentral:lncRNA from 1 species